rnacentral:rRNA from 1 species
ACGGGGGGGGGCAAGCGUUGUUCGGAAUUACUGGGCGUAAAGGGCUCGUAGGCGGCCAACUAAGUCAGACGUGAAAUCCCCCGGCUUAACCAGGGAACUGCGUCUGAUACUGGAUGGCUUGAGUUUGGGAGAGGGAUGCGGAAUUCCAGGUGUAGCGGUGAAAUGCGUAGAUAUCUGGAGGAACACCGGUGGCGAAGGCGACAUCCUGGACCAACACUGACGCUGAGUGAGCGAAAGCCAGGGGAGCAAACGGGA